CUGUGGCACCUGACAGACAAAAUGGAAGCACAGUGACAGCUCCUUUCAAAGGUGCCUGGGGUAGAUCAAAGUUCUCUCCUCCUGGAGUUGCAGGCAUCCCCCUUCAUCUCAGGGGCUUUCCAUACAACCCCACAGCUAGCCAUACCCAUGGAUAGGCUCCAUGCUCCUCGAUAUGUCAGCAUACCAGCACAGUUGACUCAGUUCCAUCGGCCAUGUGUUAGUGUUCUCAUCAGUCAAAGAGAGCACUGGCGGAGCUAUUAUUGGAUACUCUAUAAUUUUACUGGCAUCUCAAAGACUGAAAUGUCUCAGUGUGUCCGGGGAUGUGUAAAUCUCCAGGUUUUAUCUCCGUGUUUCCCUUUUUCUUUGCCCUUUUCUUGGUGAAUUAAAUCCAGCCCUGAAUGUGAGCUCCAACUAUUGAUCCACCUGUAAUACAA
rnacentral:lncRNA from 1 species